rnacentral:lncRNA from 1 species
ACUUUUUUUUUUUUUUUUUUUCUUUUUUACCAUUUCUUGGGCCGCUCCCGCGGCAUAUGGAGGUUCCCAGGCUAGGGGUCGAAUCGGAGCCAUAGCCACUGGCCUACACCAGAGCCACAGCAACUCAGGAUCUGAGCCACGUCUGCAACCUACACCACAGCUCACAGCAACACUGGAUCCUUAACCCUCUGAGCAAGGCCGGGGAUCGUACCCGCAACCUCAUGGUUCCUAGUCAGAUUCGUUAACCGCUGCGCCAUGACGGGAACUCCUCAUGUACCAACAUUUAAACACACACAUACAUAUGAGUUUUAUUGAGAUGUCAUUUACAAAGCAUACAGUUCACCCAUUUGCAUGGUACAAUCUGAAACGUACAAAUUGAAAUAUACAAUUUGAAAUAAAUUCACAGAGUUGCACAACCUAUGCUGCAAUCAAUUUUAGGACAUUUUCAUCAUCCCUUAGAGUCACUCUCCAUUUCCCCCCUCUCCCCAGCCCCUGGUGACCACUAAUCUACAUUCUUUCUCUAUGGAAUUGCCAAUUCUAGACAUUUAAUAUACCCAGAAUCAUAUAACAAAUGGCCUUUUGUGUCUGGCUUCUUUCACUGACCAUCAUGUUUUCAAGACUCAUCCCCACUAUGGAAUAUAUUAGUUCUUUGUUCCUCUUUAUUUCUGAAUAAUACGACCCUGUAUGGAUAUACCACAUUUUAUUUAUCCAUUCACCAGUUAUUUAACAUUUGGGUUAUUUCCAUUGAGGGAUUAUUAUGAGUAAUAGUGUUAGGAAUAGUCAAACAUGCAAGCUUUUUAAAAAUUUUGGGAAGGCGCUCAUCCUGCUAUUCUCCACAGUUCAUUUUUCAUUUAAAAAUCCAUUUGGGACAUCUUUAUAUAUUAGCACAUUCAGAUGGAUGGGUAGAAAAAUAAGUGCUUUGGAAGUUUGAUAAAUGCAAUGAGGAGAUGGAAGUUACAAGAGGGAGAAGCCACCUUUUGUUGUGAAUGAAGCAAAUUUAUAGGGAAAGGAAAGAGCUAAGAAGAGAUGACAUGCAAGCUACCAGAAUAGGUGUAGGUGAGGUUAAUGCCAUUAUCACCUACUUUGGCGAAUACAGUAGCUUCUCUUGAUAUCUCUGACCUCAUUUCUUAGAAAAAAAAAAGGCACCAAUAAUUGGUGAAUGGUCAGAAUCGACAGAUUGAAUUGACAGGUGACCCUGGCCAGAUGGGCCCAGCAUACCAUCACUGGAGCCAGUGCAUUCCCCACCCACCACCUCUCACUGCAUCUCUCAUCCUCAUCCCUUCUCAGCCCGGUCCUGCAUCCAUCCUCCUAAUCUCAGCAGAUAGAAUGCAAACCCGCAUGUGCCCAAUACUUGAAUAACUCCCAUUUUCUUUAUGAAUGAGCCCUAGAAGUACCUACCCUGGAGCAUCUACAUUUUACCCACAGAUACAGCCUGGGAUGCUGAAAACAGCAACAGGAUAGGGAGAAGGGAAGAAAAGGGGAGACUUAGGCUCCACAUUUUCCCCUGGGUUACCUGUUAUUAAGGUAAGUGAAACCCGGGAGUUCCUGCUGUGGCACCAGUGUUGUCUCUGCAGCAGAUUGAGUCGCUGCUGAGACGCAGGUUCAAUCCCCAGCCCAGUGAAGUGGGAUAAGAAUCUGGUGUUGCCACUGCUGUGGCAUAGAUCACAGCUGUGGCUAGGAUUCAAUCCCUGCCCCACAAACUUUCAUAUGCUGCUGUGAGGACAGCCAAAAAAAUAAUAAUAGUAAGUGAACUGCAACUAGCCUACUUAUCCCGAGUGCCCAACUGCUCCCAGGGCAAACCUCAUGCAAAAUAAUGCAGGGUCUUCUUAUUUCCCACUUUAACACCCAAAGCUGUUAUUUUCCCCCCUAAGUCAGAAUUGGUUGCUAUAUUUGUAAGAAAUCAUUACUGAGAUAUUCCACCUGGCGACCAAAUCAGACUGGCAGCAGAGUAAGGCUGAUUAUACAAAAACCCAUCUGUCCUCAUUAAUCUGGGUAAUGAUGUGCAGAGCCCCAGACGGGUACCCUAGAAGUCAGCGCAGAGGGCCUCUGUGGGCGAUAGCAGGCGGUGACACAGCUCUACACGGCCUCCCUCUUUGAUCUGCAAGAGCCACAUCAGAGGUGAUGACAGCCUGAGGUCUAAACACAGCCAUGGAGACAAAUCAUUAGCUGGUGUCAGAGAGGACGGAACCAUUUUUCUACAAAAUUCAAGUCUGUCCCAUCUCCAAAGGCACAGGUGACUCAGUUACUCGCUCCCUCCUUUCCCUUGCUCUGCUAUCACCACCCAUCAUCCUUUCUUAGACUUGAAAAAAUAAUCUAGCUUUUGUAAAAGGUGGUUGUCAAACACUGUGAAUGUUUGGAAGUAAAAACUGUGAAUGUGUGUUCUGCAAACUUUAUCAUCACCCUCGCUGACCAGCUCCAUGCAGACUCUAAAUCCGGGAUGAUUCCACAGGUGGACACUGGCUGCCAAGAGUGGCAUUUGGCUGAUGUGUGCACCUGCCGUGUGCUCACUCACUGAGAGACCCCAGCUCCGAAGAAGCUCAGUGCUCCCCUUUCCCAAAGCAAAAGCAUUGUCCGCACAGCUCCCCUGCACCACUUCAUCAGACAGCCUGUUCAAUACCAAGCCAGACUUGGUACAAUGAGGGGCAAAGAUCCAAGUGGUUUCAGACGAAGCAGCUAUUUACCUAAACUAAGGAUUUGUCCUAAUCUGCAAUUACCCAGACAUCUGCUGGACGUCCCACAGGCCAUCAACUCCACCUGUAAAAAACUGAACUCAUGCUUUCCCCUCCUGACAUCUGAAUGAAGUUCUCCUCCCAAUGUUCAAAUUUAUAUCCUGGCAGCCACUAUCCUAGCAUUCACCUACUCAGCUCUGGAACCUUACACUCCUCUUGUCCCUCUUUAAGCCGCAGUGGCCACUGGAUCAGCUUCUAAGCUCUGACAGUCAUCUGGCUGCUCCCAUGUCUGCAUCAAUCACUACCAAGUUCAGCCAUUCAUUACCUCCCAAUGAAUGAGUGCAUACACUUCUUAACAGAUAUCCAGUUACCACUCUCUCCAACCUCCAGCACAGUAAAACAAAACAAAACAAAACAAAAAAAGAAAGAGAUAUUAGAGGAUAUUAAUAUUGGAAAGGAAGAGACAAAGUCAUUAUUUUCAUAUGAUUAAAAUAAAUUGCUCAAAAGCUAUUAAGAUAAUAACAGAGUUUGUUAGUAUGUCCAACACAUGAUAAAUAAAUAAAAAUUCUAUUUAAGAUCCAUAUACAUGAAAUAUUUAAAUAGAAAACAUAACAAAAAGAGAUUGCCUCCUCAAAAGCAACAAAAAUGUACAUACUUAGAAUUAACAAUAAACUAGAAGCACACAAGACUUACAUGAAAACUACCACACUUUAUUGAAGAGACAAAAGAAUAUCACAUAUUCUUGGUUAGGAAGAAUUAUUGUAAAGAUGGUAAUUUAUCCCCCAAAUCAAUCUAUGAGUUCAAUUCAAUAUCAAUAAAAAUCACCACCAAAACUUAUCAUGGAAGGUACAAUUAUUUGACAAUUCUAUGAAAGUCUAUAUAAACCUAAAAGUCAUAGUGAAGAAAAACAUACAGAAAUAAUGAGGAAAGUUUUGAAAAUCAUAACAAUUUAACAGAAUGAGUUCUAUUAGAAUUUGAAAUGUAUUACAAAGUUAUAGUAAUGUGUGUCUUUUUUGUGUCAGCAGAAAAAGACAAAGAGAUCGGUAGAACAAAAUUACGGCUCUAGAAACCCAACAGUAUAAGAACUAAGCCUAUGAUAUUCCAUGGAGAGUGAGGGGGUUAAAGAUGGUAGAUGAAAUAAUCAAUAAAUGCCAUAUGGAAAAAUGGGUUAUCCAUCUGGAAAAACAUAAAGAUUCAACCUUACCUCACACCAUACAUAAGACUAAAGAUAGAGUAAUAACUCAAGUGUAAAAAUCAAAAUUGUGAAAAAAAAAUGAGAAUACUUGUAUAAUCUUAGAAUGGGAAAGCCUUCUUCAGAAGACAAAAAAAUCCAGGAGCCAUGAGUUAUACAAUUAACCAGCUUAGCCAUAUUAAGAAUUAAACCUUGAUAUAAAAGAGACUCAAUAGUAAAAAGUUAAUUUACAUACUGGAAGAAAGAAAUUGCAACCAAGAGAAUGAGGGGUAUGGUAUGAGAUGAGAUAAGACAAACUAUGGAGGACCUCAAAGGCCAUGAUAGGGAGUUUCAUCGUCACCCCAAGAGAACUGGACAACCUCCAAAGUGUUAUAUGCAAGGCAAUGACAAUAUGCUUGGGGAUUUGCAUUUAGAAUGAUCAUUCUGGCUACAAGGUAGAGGGAGAAUUGGAGUUUAGCUGAAGUAGACUGGGGCAAACCAAUUACAAAGCCUUAUACUACAGUGGUCCAGGCAAGAGAUAAUGACCAGAGUUAUGGUGGAAAUAGAAAUAAGAGGAGAGAUUAGAGAGAUAGGGCAGGAGUAAAGGGAAAAACUCAUUUCAUGGAUUGUUAUGGAGCCAGGGGUGAAGGACUAAAAGGUGUCAGGAAUUAUUGCUGAGUUUGGGGCUUGUGCAACUAGAUGGGUGAUGGGCCCAUGAAGUGAGAUAAGAAACAAUAGAGGAACAUGCUUGGGAAGAAAAAUAAAAGGCUCAGUUUGGGAUGGGUAAGAUGAGGAUGGGUAUGAGACCUAAUUGCCAAUGUAUCUGCGUUCCAUGGAUCCUGGUUAAGAGGACAACCAGAAAACAAGGCAACAAUAUAAAGAUGUGGAGAUGGGCAGGCCCAGGAGUGAAACCAAAAGGCACUGGGCCUGGACUUCAGGAAGGUCAUCCUCCAAUGGGGAAGAGAGAUCCUCAGACCACGUGUGAUAAAGAGCUUGUUUCCCCACUUUAUUUGACUCUGAGUCUGUGGAAAGUCCUAAAUGCUGGAUGAGCGUGAGGUCAAAACCAGGCCACAGGGGUCCCUGGCCAUGUUAUCACAGCAACCAUGAUGAUGGGAUUACAACUAAACAGUAUCUUCUUGUUUAUAAAUUCUAAAUCUUCUCUAAUGAACUUGUAUUGUUUUAUUAGGAGACUAAAGACUCAGCAGAGAUAAUUUUUUAACAUGCUUUACAGAGAAAGAAAAAUGAAAAAACCGAAGAUGGUAGAUGGUUAUCUUUCCUUUAACACAUAAUAUUUUGAAGGAUAACAUUUGGGAGGAAAAACAAGAGUGGAGGAAUGCCGGCCAGGAAGGCUAUCAGUGUCCCAGGCAUGCUGUGACCCUGUGGGAGAAGGGAGGGGGAAGGGAGAAAGCUCAGGAACUUCAAGAGGAAGAAAUGCCAGGAACACCCACAUUUAAGGCUAGUGAUAAACUAUAGGUGGUUCCCCACCUCGUAGUGAAUGAGAACAUCAUUUCUCAACAAAAAUGUUUUCCAAAAAAUUUCAGUGAUGGUCUUGUUCUGUUCAUCAGAGUCACCCAGUGAACCUAGAGAUUAUCAUACUAAGUGAAGUUUGUCAGAUAGUGAAAGACAAACACCAUAUGAUACCACUUAGAUGGGGAAUCUUAAACAAAGGAUACAAAUUAACUUAUUUGCCAAACAGAAAGAGACUCACAGACUUUUAAAAACUUCUGGUUACCAAAGGGUAUAGGCUGGGGGGAGGGA